rnacentral:rRNA from 1 species
CCUACGGGUGGCAGCAGUGAGGAAUAUUGGUCAAUGGACGAGAGUCUGAACCAGCCAAGUAGCGUGAAGGAUGACUGCCCUAUGGGUUGUAAACUUCUUUUAUAUGGGAAUAAAACGUUCCACGUGUGGGAUUUUGUAUGUACCAUAUGAAUAAGGAUCGGCUAACUCCGUGCCAGCAGCCGCGGUAAUACGGAGGAUCCGAGCGUUACCCGGAUUUAUUGGGUUUAAAGGGAGCGUAGGUGGAUUGUUAAGUCAGUUGUGAAAGUUUGCGGCUCAACCGUAAAAUUGCAGUUGAAACUGGCAGUCUUGAGUACAGUAGAGGUGGGCGGAAUUCGUGGUGUAGCGGUGAAAUGCUUAGAUAUCACGAAGAACUCCGAUUGCGAAGGCAGUUCACUGGACUGCAACUGACACUGAGGCUCGAAAGUGUGGGUAUCAAACAGGAUUAGAUACCCUAGUAGUC